rnacentral:rRNA from 1 species
GACGAACGCUGGCGGCGUGCUUAACACAUGCAAGUCGAACGGAAAGGCCCUGCUUUUGUGGGGUGCUCGAGUGGCGAACGGGUGAGUAACACGUGAGUAACCUGCCCUUGACUUUGGGAUAACUUCAGGAAACUGGGGCUAAUACCGGAUAGGAGCUCCUGCUGCAUGGUGGGGGUUGGAAAGUUUCGGCGGUUGGGGAUGGACUCGCGGCUUAUCAGCUUGUUGGUGGGGUAGUGGCUUACCAAGGCUUUGACGGGUAGCCGGCCUGAGAGGGUGACCGGCCAAAUUGGGAAUGAGAUACGGCCGGGACUCCUACGGGAGGGAGGAGUGGGGAAUAGUGCACAAGGGGCGGAAGCCUGAUGCAGCAACGCCGCGUGCGGGAUGGCGGCCUUGGGGUUGGAAACCGCUUUCGCCUGGGACGAAGCGGGAGUGACGGUAAUGGGGAAAGAAGCACCGGCUAACUACGU